rnacentral:rRNA from 1 species
CUUACUAAGAGUUUGAUCCUGGCUCAGGAUGAACGCUGGCGGCGUGUCUAAGGCAUGCAAGUCGAACGCUCCGACGCAAGUCGGAGAGUGGCGAACGGGUGCGUAACACAUUGGUAACCUACCCCUAUCCCGGGUAUAACUCUUCGAAAGAGGAGCUAAUCCCCGAUAAGUUGCGGUUCACAUGAAUCGUAACGAAAGCUCCGGCAGAUAGGGAGGGGCCUAUGGCUCAUCAGGUAGUUGGUAGGGUAACGGCCUACCAAGCCUUUGACGAGUAUGGGGCGUGAGAGCGCGACCCCACUCACCGGAACUGAGACACUGUCCGGACUCCUACGGGAGGCUGCAGUCGAGAAUCUUCCCCAAUGCGCGAAAGCGUGAGGGAGCGACGCCGCGUGCCAGAAGAAGCCCUUCGGGGUGUAAAUGGCUUUUCUGUCAGAAGAACUCUGACGGUAUGACAGGAAUAAGAGGUUGCUAACUCUGUGCCAGCAGCAGCGGUAA